rnacentral:lncRNA from 1 species
UGAAGUUUCACAAGGCUUAGCUUUAGCACCAAGAAUGCAACCUCAUAGAGAAAAGAAAGAAUAUGAAGUUGGUAGGCUUAGAUACACAAAUCUCCUAAAGAAAGUUGGGGUGUGCUUCUUGAAUUUGUGGGGGGUAAGUAAUCUCUUUAGUCCUUCAAGCUACUCAAGAAGAUCAUUAGACCAUUAUGGGGUUCGAUGUUCACCUGUUCCUAGGCAGAUGGAACAAAGUUGUGAUCUUUUACUGCUUUUUGUGAGCACUUAGAUGGAGACCAAUAUUAUAGAUAAAGAGAGAGAAUGAAGAGAACUUGUAGCUUUGCCUGCCUAAAGUAGAUAGAUCAUUGGGUCUUGUCACUGUAGUGGCAAGAUUUCUUAUUAUGUUAUUCUGGUGGCAUUCAUACUUUUGACAUUCAACCAUCAUAUAAUAUUCUCCUUUUUCUUUCAGUGUAAAUUUACUGUAAAAUACCUAUUUCCAGUUUAUUUCAUAUAAGGCUAGCAGUUGACAAGAAAGAGCAUGGAAGAAGGAAGACAGAAUGCAACUAUCGAAAUGCAUACAUAUGUUUGAGUGUAUGAUGGUUUAGUGUAAGAUCUGAGAUCUACAGAUGCACAAACCAUUUAGUUCUGUGGACACUGAAGACUCUUUGCUUGCUUUGGUAAGUGAAAUCAGGUGGCGAUGUGCUUCUUUUCUUUUCAAAAUAAAAGAAGAAAAAUCUUCAUUUCAUUGGAUAUAAUUACUGCAUAUUGACAUGAGAAUUUGCUGAUGUUCUUAUUUAUGCAAUAAAGAAUUCAUUGCCUCCAGAGAAGCUUCUUCUUCUUUUUUGCUGAAUAUGAAGACUAAGCAUACAUCUCUGACUAAAAAUGUUUUUUUUUGCUGUAAGGAAAUUGAACAGAAAUAAACCAGACGAAGCAAUAUCAUCACCUGGAAGAAUUGCUCCA